UCCAGCUCCCAAAAAUAAGCUUAGGCGGCCGAAAGUCCCCCCGAAUUGCCUCUUCCUUAUUCAAGAAGCCAAAUCUUGGAGAUCACAUGUUUCCCACUUCAUGCUAUGCACAUUCAAAAUUCAAAAGGAGGCUCCACCUUUCUCUUUAGUGCAUGAGUGGUAAAAAUAAUGUGAAGGAAACUUCUUGGACACACUUGGGCAACAAUUAAAAUACCAAAAAGUCCUUGCAAUGCACAUAAAAGGCACAUAUUAGACUAAGGGCACUUUGGGCAACCUCUAAAAGAUGCAUGGGCACCCAAGAAACCCUAAGCAACCUCUCAAGACAUAUUUAAAGGUCUUGUGAAGACAAGAAGUGGCAGACUUAAAGAAUUCAAUCUCCUAACCUCUCCAAGGGUUCGGCCGCCGCUCCUCCUCCAAUCUUGCCGCCGCCGGUUCCUCCUUCCUCUUCUCUUCUUCUAUUUUCUGUUAUGGUUCAGCCAUGAGUGACUGAAACCCCUAAUUCUAGUUGAUGUUUGGUUGAAACUAAGGUUGUUUAAAGGGUUGUGAGAUUUGAACAUGAAGUGUUUGCUUUUGAUUUGUUCAAUAUUCAUAUAAUUGUGUGCUUAAUUAUAAGAUUGCUUUGUUGUUUUGAUCAAAUUGGCCACUUGAUUCUUGAAUGAAAAGUUAAUUGAUUGUUAGUUGGGAUAUUUUGUAGUCCGUAAUUGCUGAAAAUAUUCUGACCUAAGAACACUUGGUGUAAAAACUAAGGAAUUGUAUGAUCUAGCAACAUCUCAUGCGUUUGAGUAGCUAGGGUUGGAUCUCUCUCUUUCUUGAUGCAAUUGACAAUUGUUUUGAUGCCUAAGGCCCAAGGACGUUCCUUGGCAAUUUGUUAAUUAGUAAUUGAUUAGAGGACAUUCCCUAAUUGAUUUAAUCAUAAGGAGAGACAUGGUGGUGAGAAGCGUUUUCCAUCCCCAUAACCAAUCUAUUGAAUCAAUUAAGAGAACAUAAGUUUCAAUGAUCAAUCCAAACAACCAAAGUGGAUCCAUACCUUCAACUAGACCUUUCUCAUAUUGAUUUCCUUAAUUUAUUUCAAUUGCUUGCGGUUUUAAUUGCUUUCAAUAGUUGUUAGUCAAAUCAAUCUCAAAACCCCCUUUUUACUUUAUUGCACUUUACUUUUGAUCUACUUUUUUUCAAUUGUGCUUUCAGUUGAUUCCAAUUGAUCUUGUUUGGGAAAAAUAGAUAAGUACUCAAUUCUCUGUGGAUUCGACCCUUUACCACUAUCUGCAGUUGUAAGAUUGUUGAUAACCGUAGAGGUUAUUUUUGACCGGUUUCGACAACCGCGAGUCAAAAAUUGGCGCCGCUGCCGGGGAAUUGAUUUAACUUAUUUUUUUUCUUUCAUGACAAGAUCUGAACUCAGGGACACUCUGCCCUUUGAUCCAGAAAUUGAACGCACCCUCAGAAGACUAGGAAAGCAAGCUGCCGAGCAUUCUGCCCAACCUUCUGCCGCCGAACUUCAUCAACAUUCGGCCACCGAACCUUCCCUUCUCCAGCAGCCAAACACCUCACUAAAUGGCACAGUCACCAUCGCAGAUCUAAAUCAUGGAUGAGGUAAGCACAUAUAAUCUCCCUCCUCAAAUUCCUGACCUAACCUCUAUUGUGGAAAGCUAUGUCAUAGCUCUACAGGCUCGACGACUUCAGCAAUCUCAGCCAUGUAGGAUCUGUGCACAUGUGGGAUACCUAACUUCCCAAUGUCCUACACUUUAUGAAGAUGACUAACAAGUACAUGCAUUUGGAGGAUACUACGAACAGCCAGAAUAUGAUCCCUACCAUCACACAUACAAUCCAGAUUGGGGAGACUAUCCAGACUUCAGUUAUGCAAAGGCUAAUGACUACCAAGACAUCAAGGAUAUCAAGCCCAACCAGAAUCUCCAAAUUCCAUCCAGCACCUUGAAAAGAUGAUGGAAACAAUGGCAAGUUCUAUACAAGACCUCCAACAGCAAGUGGAACAAUUUGCCACCGCAUCAAAUGCAUACAUGUUGAGAAGAGAGGAAGAGCUUCAAGAUGAGGAGGAAGAUGAUGAAAGUUUGCAAGUUCAAGAACAAGCUGCUGAAAAGAAACAACCAGAAAACUGUUUUGAACCUGUUGUUAAUUUAGAUGUCAUUGAUUAUUUGAGCAAAGAUGUUUUUUAUAUGAAUCAAGAUGAUAUUCUGAACAAUAAUCUUUGCAGGUAAGAGAGCCAGAAAGAGCCAGACUUGAAAGAAACUGACUGUUUCAUCCAACAGGUGGACUGCAAACAUGCGGAGAACAAAGGAGAGCCAAUCGCACCUCUUCAGAUCAGCCUUGCACAAACUGAAACCACCACCUUUUGGCCGCCGAACCUCUCACCACAGCUUCCAUCGCCUGAAACUCAUUUCAGCCAUCCAAUGCAAACAGCAUAUGCUCACAAGGAACAAGUUGAAGUUCAAGAGCCCAAACCAAAGGAGCAUGCGGAUCAAUGCCUUCCCAAACCUCCGGAUAAGGUAGAGUUUGUUUUGCCUGAAUUCAGUACUAAAUUGCAGCUAGCCAUAGAGAAACAUGAAUUGGAGUUCAAAAUGCUUCCCAAUCAUCUCAAAAAUGCAAACUUAAGGGCCAGAGGCACACCUCAUCUGAAAAAGGAAAGCUAAUCAUGUUACUUUAUGAGUACAUGGAAAAAGUAGGAUGGGUUAUGACCAAAUCAAAAGGAGUGCUACACUUUUUGCUCAAUAUAGUUGGGACGCUUUUCCCUUCCCCAAUUACUUGAGCCUUGAUCAUGUAGAUCACGCCAUGCACACUACACCCAUGGGAGUACUCAGUUUCCUUUGUUCUUUUAUGUUUCUUAUACAUUGAGGACAAUGCAUGAUUUAGGUGUAGGGGUGCAUAUCUCUGAAUUUUUACUUUUAAGUUUAUUUUUGCUUUAAUCUUUAGUUGUUUGCAUUAGAAAAUUUUUUUCAUUUUUGUUAUUUAUUCUUUCAAUAAAACACACACAACCACAACCUUCUUCUCUUUUUGUUUUGCUCUACUCAAACUGAUGAACUAUGUUGGAUGAGUUUUUCUUUCCAUGACCCCAUUGAUGUGAUGACUCUUUAAACUUAUGUUGAAUCAAUUGCAGUGAGUUGUAUUCAUGCUUGAGAAUUGCCUUUUGAAUUGAAUCUUUGAGUUUGCCAUGGUGAAAAAUAUAUUGAUGACCCUCAUUAGAGAAUAAAUUGAAAGUUUUGUGAAUGAACUUAAUGUGACUUGAUUUAGCAAUUGGUGUUGAUUUGCCCAAAUCAUUGAGAGAAAGAAAAUUCAGCAAAGGCAAAGACCUCAAAAGCACAAAAUCAAAAAAUUGUUCCAAUGGUCAAAAGACUAAGAACAAAGCUUGUAGCCACUUGGAAAGGUGACCAACUUAGUAACUGGGGGUGGGUAUCACAAAUAUGUACCUUCACGUCAAAAGGUUGGUGACUUUUUCAAGGAAAAUCUAAGUGCAAAAGCCUGAAUAAAGUACUUCAAGGUAAGGGCAAGUCACUCCAAAAGCUAGAAAAAGUCUUAACAAAUUAAUGUGCAUGUAUGGUCUCUCUUGAGGAAAACAAAUCCUAGCCGUGGUAAGCAAAGGGAAACAAGGAAAGGAGGUAAGUAAUCUUCAUGCAUAUAUUCUUCACUGCAAUGAUUCAAAAUAGGUGUCUAGAGUAAGAGCUUAAGUGGAAAUAAGGAUCUACAGCAAAGAAAGCUUAUUUGACUAUGUUUAUUUGCUUGAGGACAAGCUAAAGGCUAAGUGUGGGGGUAUUUGAUAGAGCAUAUUUUAGUCCAUAUUAUCAUUGUCUUAUUGAUGUUUAUUUACACCUUUUCUACCUAAUUUUGUGGCUUUAAUAAUGUUUUGAAGAUAUUAGGUGUAAAGAGACAAUCAAGAGGAAAUGCUCUAAAAAAUGCCAAAAAGUGCCAAAUCUGGAAAAGCCACCUUCGGAAGCACCUUCGGCGGCUGAAAGCCUCGUCCGGAGCCGAAAGUCACCCAUCUUCGGUGGCACCUUCGGCGGCUAAAAGUCUGCUCCAGAGCCAAAAGUCCAGCUCCCGAAAAUAGGCUUAGACGGCCGAAAGUCCCCCUGAAUUGCCUCUUCCUUAUUCAAGAAGCCAAAUCUUGGAGAUCACAUGUUUCCCACUUCAUGCCAUGCACAUUCAAAAUUCAAAAGGAGGCUCCACCUUCCUCUUUAGUGCAUGAGUGGCAAAAAUAAUGUGAAGGAAACUUCUUGGACACACUUGGGCAACAAUUAAAAGACCAAAAAGUCCUUGCAAUGUACAUAAAAGGCACAUAUUAGACCAAGGACACUUUGGGCAACCUCUAAAAGAUGCAUGGACACCAAAGAAACCCUAGGCAACCUCUCAAGACAUAUUUAAAGGCCUUGUGAAGACAAGAAGUGGUAGACUUGAAGAAUUCAAUCUCCCAACCUCUCCAAGGGUUCGGCCGCCGCUCCUCCUCCACUCUUGCUGCCGCCGGUUCCUCCUUCUUCUCUUCUUCUAUUUUCUGUUUUGGUUCAGCCAUGAGUGGCUGAAACCCCUAAUUCUAGUUGAAGUUUGGUUGAAACUAAGGUUGUUUAAAGGGUUGUGAGAUCUGAACAUAAAGUGUUUGCUUUUGAUUUGUUCAAUAUUCAUAUAAUUGUGUGCUUAAUUCUAAGAUUGCUUUGUUGUUUUGAUCAAAUUGGCCACUUGAUUCUUGAUUGCAAAGUUAAUUGAUUGUUAGUUGGGAUAUUUUUUAGUCCGUAAUUGGUGGAAAUAUUCUGACCUAAGAACACUUGGUGUAAAAACUAAGGAAUUGUAUGAUCUAGCAACAUCUCAUGCGUUUGAGUAGCUAGGGUUGGAUCUCUCUCUUUCUUCAUGCAAUUGACAAUUAUUUUGAUGCCUAAGGCCCAAGGACGUUCCUUGGAAAUUUGUUAAUUAGUAAUUGAUUAGAGGACGUUCCCUAAUUGAUUUAAUCAUAGGGAGAGACAUGGUGGUGAGAAGCGUUUUCCAUCCCCAUAACUAAUCUAUUGAACCAUUUAAGAGAACAUAAGUUUCAAUGAUCAAUCCAAACAACCAAAGUGGAUCCAUAACUUCAACUAGACCUUUCUCAUAUUGAUUUACUUAAUUUAUUUCAAUUGCUUGCUGUUUUAAUUGCUUUCAAUAGUUGUUAGUCAAAUCAAUCUCAAAACCCCCUUUUUACUUUAUUGCACUUUACUUUUGAUCUACUUUUUUUCAAUUGUGCUUUCAGUUGAUUCCAAUUGAUCUUGUUUGGGAAAAAUAGAUAAGUAUUCAAUUCUCUGUGGAUUCAACCAUUUACCACUAUCCGCAGUUGUAAGAUUGUUGAUAACCGUAGAAGUUAGUUUUGACCGGCUUCGACAACCGCGAGUCAAAAAUUGGCGCCGCUUCCGGGAAAUUGAUUUAACUUGUUUAUUUUUCUUUCAUGACUAGAUCUGAAUACAGGGACACUGAUGAAGCAUAAAUUAGCCGCAUUUUUAUUAUCUUUUCUAUUGCUUAUUUACACAUUUUUUAGUUUAAUUUAUGGUUUUUAUCUUGUUUUUACAGAAAAGGAAGAAAUUGGAAAAUUGGAGAAAAAGUGCAGAAAAUUGACAGAAAAGUGAUUGGGUCAGUGAUUUGCCCAGUGAUCUGCCCAGAUCAAGCUGAAGCAGAAACCUGGAGGCAACAGGCAGAAGUGAUAUGGGCAGUGAUUUGCCCAGGACACUCGAAGACACUGGCCAAAUCACUCGCAGAAGACAGAGAGAACUGACUCGCAGAAACGUGAUCGGGUAUGUGAUUUGCCCAAUCACUUGAAGAAGCUGGUCAAAUCACCGGGCAAAUCACUUUCACAAUAGAAACUGACAGCAGAGCGGGAAUUUGGGCAGAAAACAGAAAUCCGAAUUUUCAGAAGUCCAAAUCCAACUCAAUCACUAUCAAUACAAAUCCAAGAGCCACGAAAAGAACUUCUCAUCCAAGGAAUUCCAAUUGCAAUUAAAUUCAAACGUCAAAAGAGGAGUCAAACACCAAAUCAAAAAGGGAUUUUGAAACCCUAGAUGGAUGGAAAUCUGCAGCUAUAAAAGGAGAGCCUCCAAACCAGCAAGCCAUCUUUGGAUCAGCAACUCAACUCGCCAGAAACUCUCCAGCAUCUUCCUUUUUUUCUUUUCUUUUCAUCUUUUUGUGUAUUUAGUCCACCAUGAGUGGCUAAACUCCUUCUUUUCUAGUUGAAGUUGAGAAUAUUCAGAUUUGUGAUGAAUUGGGAGGUUUAAUACUCCAUUGUUGAACUCUUGUUUGUUUCAAUAUUUAUGCAAACUGAUCUUUUCCAUNNNNNNNNNNNNNNNNNNNNNNNNNNNNNNNNNNNNNNNNNNNNNNNNNNNNNNNNNNNNNNNNNNNNNNNNNNNNNNNNNNNNNNNNNNNNNNNNNNNNNNNNNNNNNNNNNNNNNNNNNNNNNNNNNNNNNNNNNNNNNNNNNNNNNNNNNNNNNNNNNNNNNNNNNNNNNNNNNNNNNNNNNNNNNNNNNNNNNNNNNNNNNNNNNNNNNNNNNNNNNNNNNNNNNNNNNNNNNNNNNNNNNNNNNNNNNNNNNNNNNNNNNNNNNNNNNNNNNNNNNNNNNNNNNNNNNNNNNNNNNNNNNNNNNNNNNNNNNNNNNNNNNNNNNNNNNNNNNNNNNNNNNNNNNNUAAAUUAUUGCUUUCUUUUGCUAUUUAAUUUUAAUCAUCAAAUCAAAACCCCCCUCUUUUAAUUACUUGUUAUUUACUUGACCUAGUCAUUAUUAGGAAAAUCAUUGGUGUCAAUUCCCUGUGGUUCGACCCUAUUGCCACUAUCUACAAGUUUAUUGUUGAUUGUUUAAUAGGUUUAUUUUUGAUGGCUUCGACAACCGCCUAUCAGACACUCUGCCCUUUGAUCUAGAAAUUGAACGCACCCUCAGAAGACUAGGAAAGCAAGCUGCCAAGAAUUAUGCCCAACCUUCGGCCGUCGAACUUCAUCAACAUUCGGCCGCCGAACCUUCCCUUCUCCAGCAGCCAAACACCUCACUAUAUGGCACAGUCACCAUCGCAGAUCUAAAUCAUGGAUGAGGUAAGCACAUAUAAUCUCCCUCCUCAAAUUCCUGACCUAACCUCUAUUGUGGGAAGCUAUGUCAUAGCUCUACAAGCUCGACGACUUCAACAAUCUCAGCCAUGUAGGAUUUGUGCACAUAUGGGACACCUAACUUCCCAAUGUCCUACACUUUAUGAAAAUGACCAACAAGUACAUGCAUUUGGAGGAUACUACAAACAGCCAGAAUAUGAUCCUUACCAUCACACAUACAAUACAGAUUGGGGAGACUAUCCAGACUUCAGUUAUGCAGAGGCUAACGACUACAAAGACUAUCAAGGAUAUCAAGCCCAACCAGAAUCUUCAAAUUCCAUCCAGCACCUUGAAAAGAUGAUGGAAACAAUGGCAAGUUCUAUACAAGACCUCCAACAGCAAGUGGAACAAUUUGCCACCGCAUCAAAUGCAUACAUGUUAAGAAGAGAGGAAGAGCUUCAAGAUGAGGAGGAAGAUGAUGAAAGUUUGCAAGUUCAAGAACAAGCUACUGAAAAGAAACAACCAGAAAACUGUUUUGAGCCUGUUGUUAAUUUAGAUGUCAUUGAUUAUUUGAGCAAAUAUGUUUUUUAUAUAAAUCAAGAUGAUAUUCUGAACAAUAAUCUUUGCAGGGAAGAGAGCCAGACUUGAAAGAAACUGACUGUUUCAUCCAACAGGUGAACUGCAAACAUGCACAAAACAUAGGAGAGCCAAUCGCACCUCUUCAGAUCAGCCUUGCACAAACUGAAACCACCACCUUUCGGCUACCGAACUCCACCACCUUUCGGCCGCCAAACCUCUCACCACAGCUUGCAUCGCCUGAAACUCAUUUCAGCCAUCCAAUGCAAACAGUAUAUGCUCACAAGAAACAAGUGGAAGUUCACUGUGGAUUCGACCCUUUACCACUAUCUGCAGUUGUAAGAUUGUUGAUAACCGUAGAGGUUAGUUUUGACCGGCUUCGACAACCGUGAGUCAAAAAUUGGCGCCGCUGCCGGGGAAUUGAUUUAACUUGUUUAUUUUUCUUUCAUGACCAGAUCUGAAUACAGGGACACUCUGCCCUUUGAUCCAGAAAUUGAACGCACCCUCAGAAGACUAGGAAAGCAAGCUGCCGAGCAUUCUGCCCAACCUUCGGCCGCCAAACUUCAUCAACAUUCGGCCGCCGAACCUUCCUUUCUCCAGCAGCCAAACACCUCAAAAAAUGGCACAGUCACCAUCGCAGAUCUAAAUCAUAGAUGAGGUAAGCACAUAUAAUCUCCCUCCUCAAAUUCCUGACCUAACCUCUAUUGUGGGAAGCUAUGUCAUAGCUCUACAGGCUCGACGACUUCAGCAAUCUCAGCCAUGUAGGAUCUGUGCACAUGUGGGACACCUAACUUCCCAAUGUCCUACACUUUAUGAAGAUGACCAACAAGUACAUGCAUUUGGAGGAUACUACCAACAGCCAGAAUAUGAUCCCUACCAUCACACAUACAAUCUAGAUUGGGGAGACUAUCCAGACUUCAGUUAUGCAGAGGCUAACGACUACCAAGACUAUCAAGGAUAUCAAGCCCAACCAGAAUCUCCAAAUUCCAUCCAGCACCUUGAAAAGAUGAUGGAAACAAUGGCAAGUUCUAUACAAGACCUCCAACAGCAAGUGGAACAAUUUGCCACCGCAUCAAAUGCAUACAUGUUGAGAAGAGAGGAAGAGCUUCAAGAUGAGGAGGAAGAUGAUGAAAGUUUGACACUUGUUGCUCAAUAUAGUUGGGACGCUUUUCCCUUCCCCAAUUACUUGAGCCUUGAUCAAGUAGAUCACGCUAUGCACACCACACCCAGGGGAGUACUCAGUUUCCUUUGUUCUUUUAUGUUUCUUAUACAUUGAGGAUAAUGCAUGAUUUAGGUGUGGGGGUGCAUAUCUCUGAAUUUUUACUUUUAAGUUUAUUUUUGCUUUAAUCUUUAGUUGCUUGCAUUAGAAAUUUUUUUUUCAUUUUUGUUAUUUAUGCUUUCAAUAAAACACACACAACCACAACCUUCUUCUCUUUUUCUUUUGCUCUACUCAAACUGAUGAACUAUGUUGGAUGAGUUUUUCUUUCCAUGACCCCAUUGAUGUGAUGAUUCUUUAAACUUAUAUUGAAUCAAUUGCAGUGAGUUGUAUUCAUGCUUGAGAAUUGCCUUUUGAAUUGAAUCUUUGAGUUUGCCAUGGUGAAAAAUAUAUUGAUGACCCUCAUUAUAGAAUAAAUUGAAAGUUGUGUGAAUGAACUUAAUGAUUCAAAAUAGGUGUCUAGAGUAAGAGCUUAAGUGGAAAUAAGGAUCUAGAGCAAAGAAAGCUUAUUUGACUAUGUUUAUUUGCUUGAGGACAAGCAAAAGGCUAAGUGUGGGGGUAUUUGAUAGAGCAUAUUUUAGUCCAUAUUAUCAUUGUCUUAUUGAUGUUUAUUUAUACCUUUUCUACCUAAUUUUGUGGUUUUAAUAAUGUUUUGAAGAUAUUAGGUGUAAAGAGACAAUCAAGAGGAAAUGCUCUAAAAAAUGCCAAAAAGUGCAAAAUCUGGAAAAGCCACCUUCGGAAGCACCUUCGGCGGCUAAAAGCCUCGUCCAGAGCCGAAAGUCUCCCAUCUUCGGUGGCACCUUUGGCGGCCGAAAUUUUGCUCCAGAGCCGAAAGUCCAGCUCUCGAAAAUAAGCUUAGGCGGCUGAAAGUCCCCCCGAAUUGCCUCUUCCUUAUUCAAGAAGCCAAAUCUUGGAGAUCACAUGUUUUCCACUUCAUGCCAUGCACAUUCAAAAUUCAAAAGGAGGCUCCACCUUCCUCUUUAGUGCAUGAGUGGCAAAAAUAAUGUGAAGGAAACUUCUUGGACACACUUGGGCAACAAUUAAAAGACCAAAAAGU
rnacentral:lncRNA from 1 species